rnacentral:rRNA from 1 species
CGAACGCUGGCGGCGUGCUUACCACAUGCAAGUCGACCGGAAAGGCCCUGCUUUUGUGGGGUGCUCGAGUGGCGAACGGGUGAGUAACACGUGAGUAACCUGCCCUUGACUUUGGGAUAACUUCAGGAAACUGGGGCUAAUACCGGAUAGGAGCUCCUGCUGCAUGGUGGGGGUUGGAAAGUUUCGGCGGUUGGGGAUGGACUCGCGGCUUAUCAGCUUGUUGGUGGGGUAGUGGCUUACCAAGGCUUUGACGGGAAGCCGGCCUGAGAGGGUGACCGGCGACAUUGGGACUGAGAUACGGCCCAGACUCCUACGGGAGGCAGCAGUGGGGAAUAUUGCACAAUGGGCGGAAGCCUGAUGCAGCAACGCCGCGUGCGGGAUGACGGCCUUCGGGUUGUAAACCGCUUUCGCCUGUGACGAAGCGUGAGUGACGGUAAUGGGUAAAGAAGCACCGGCUAACUACGUG